UUUAUGAAACUUUGCUCUAGCUACAUUUAUUAGAAGUAGAAGCAUAGUCUUAAUUUGUCAUGCAGAAUUCCAGGGGAGUGAGUAAUUUCCAAAGCUUCUCCAAAUGCCAGGACUUAAUAUUUUUCUGCAGCAAUUUGUUUGUAAACAUGGAGUAAACUGUAUAGGUUGCAAUGUGACAAAAAGGUAUCUAGGAUUUGUCAUCUUCUGCUAACAGCUGUUUGGUUUAUUUUAUAGCAUCUCAUGGGGUUUUUUGGAUAAAUGCUCUGCUGAUGGCAAGCAAAAGCACCCUGAGGAUCUCUGAUGGUGGGCACGCACAAAGUUUAACUGUAAUAAAGCUGUUUGUCAGGGAUUUGCUCUCCAAUGGAUCUGCUCCCCCGGGUCUCAGCAAUUCCCACCAGGGUGCCCAUGUGUCACCUUCAGAGAAACCCACACUGAACAGGAGGCAAACUCCAGGCAGGAUGGCAAUUUCCCUUCUGGCAGGGAGAAUUUUAUGGUGUGAAGAGGGGGAAUCAGGGCUUCCUAAGGAGGAUUUUUAAGGGAAUGGAGUUCAUGAAUUUUACUUGCCAGUUUCCCUGGUGCUACAGGAACCCAGGAUAUUUUUUUUUUGUCACCCCCACCUCUCUUUCUCAUCCUGUGACACACUGUAGUUGUGGACUUUGGUCUUUUAUUUGGUAGCCUGAGGCAACAUCUUUUAUUUGUGGUGCACCUGAGCUGGGCUCAUGGUUGGACUCAAUGACCUCAGAGGUCUUUCCCAACCUUAAUAAUCCUAGUGAGCAGUGGAAAUGAAGCUGAUGAGUUUGAUGCUGAGGGUCUCAAAUCUGCCACAUUUGUUUUUUGGGCCCAGCCUUGGACUGAGACUGGUGUGGUCCCAUGGACUGACUCCCUGGCACUGAGGGCUUUGGGUUUCCCUUGGUGUGCACCAGCAUUUUAGUGCCAUUCCAAGGGCACCCAGCGAGGGGUUUCCAGACAGCUCCUUGCAGUGAGAUGGGCAGCAGAGUCUGGGAGAUCUCCUUCAGAAGUUCCCUCUGAGCUCAAUAGGAAACUCCUGCAGAAGCUCACACCCGAACCUUAGACAAUGUUUUGUGGCCUCCCCUGGUGAGCUGUAUUCUCAAAACUCUUCAAUAUUAGAUGUUUCUUGCUUGUUUAAAACUGUUCUCAUGCCCUCACUCAGUCUGUGUGCAGGAGGCAGGUGAAUGUCUCCAUGGGUGCCAUCAGAGCAUCCCUAGGCUGGAUGUGAGCACAGCAGAAACCUCAGUAAAUCCACGUAAACCACGUUUUAGGGACGUUGUUGCCUCGGGAGGGAGAUGAGCCUGCCUGUGCCAGACGUGUGCUUUCCCGAGUCCUUUCAGAGGUUUUUCAUUUUUGAGUAAUGUGGCAGUGCCUGAACCAGCACAUCAGUUCUCAUGGUCCCCUGCUCCCCAGAUCGAUUACACCCUGUCACAGCAGCACGGCAGAAGUCAUCGUCUGAGGGGAAAACCCACUCGUUUCUCACUGCAUUCCCAACUGCUUCAGAACCUCUGCCAGCACAUGCUAGCUCUGAUAACAUUUUAAGAUACUGCUCUGCUGAAAUGAAAGCCUUGCUUGCAAGGCCACGCUGUCCAAAGUUCUCCCAUCCCUCAUUUAAAUCCAGCCUAAUUAGCCCAGCUACAGACCUUGUUGUUACACAUGCUGAAGUAUAAUGGCUGCUAUUAUAGCAGCUUGCAGCAGCAAAGAUAUAUGAUUUUGAACGAUAUGUCAAGGAAAAAUAAACAUGUUUCAUUUCUUCAUUAGAUAAUGUUUAUUUAUAGCACAAUAUAUAUCUACCUCCACUGUACCAUUAAAGUUUUGACUGCUUUUUAACUAUAAAAUUUGAUAUUGUUGUGGCAGCUGCACUACUCAAAUGAUUGCUAUAGUACAGCUGUUAUCAAAGAGUAAGAUUUAUAGCUGCCCUACGUGGUGUAAAGAUAUGUGCAUAUUUACUUUGUGUUUUACUACUUGUGUCCUAUAUUUUAAUGACACAAGGUGAGAUGAAAUAGUGAAAUAAUAAACUCUUUUUUGCUGUCGCAAAAGAAAAUGGCACUAUGUUUAAAGUUUUGUGUUAAAUUAUCUAUUGUGGUAUGAUAAUUUUUUUCUCUCUGUUAUUUUGGUUUAUUUAAACAUAUUUUGCAUGUUAGUAGCAAUCUUAGUUGUUUUGUUUUGUUUUUUUUUUUAACUGGCUUUACUUUUCAAAGUGCUCUGGAACUGGAGUGAGAACGACAUGCUUGAUGAAACAUGUCAAGCUACAUUAUAUUGUAGGUAAGGAUCAAUAUUUUAACCCUUGGAUAGACUGUUGGAGCACAGUGAGCAGCAGCUUCCCUCACUGGUGCUUUUCUAGGAAAAUUAGAUGAAUAGACCACCAAAAUUCACUUUUAUGAGGCUGCUGUCCCACAUGGCCCUAUUGCAGCUGGACCCUGAGCAAUGCACCACAUAUGAAAAGAGUUUCAGAGGAUCUCUUGGUGAAGGAAGGGGUGAUAAAGUCUGUCCAGCUCAAUGGCCAGAUCCUGCCCAUCAGCACAAAUCAUUUACAGCCAGUAUUGACCUCUCCUGCCCAAACUAAGGCUGGUUUCCAUGGGAUUCAAAUCUUCUGACCACACCAUUUGCAGAGUAGGCACCUUUGGAUGCUGUUUUCAUUUUGUUAGUGACCAAUGUCUUUUUACGUAUCCAUAAUUUUUUUUACCUCACUGGUUAGAUCAUACUCAACUAAGGAGUGCCUAAUCAAAAGGUCCUGCAAGCAGGAUUGGGUUAUUUCAUGAAGGCUGAGGUCCUUCAGCAGAAAUGUGGCAUAGAUGGAGUGCAGUGUAUAGUCCUGUGUAUAAGAGGAGAAUUUUAAAUUCAAAUAUUCUCUGAAACUCCAAAACCAGAAGGAAACAAAAGGACAAAUCAAGCUACAGAGGAGAGGUGAGUGACAGACUGUACAUUCUUAUUUAAUUUUUAUGACCUGCUUUGUGCACCUUUAUUUGGUUGAUGUUAAUCAAUCCUGUUCACUAAUCCUGUCCGUGUGAAAUUCAAUUUUGUUGCAUUUUUUUGAGUGGGGAAGAAGGGACACUGGUUUUAAGAUAAUCCGUGAGUCAGUGUUGAGUCAGUCAUGUAUUGGUGUUUCCUACCAAACUCUUUUAUGUAUUAAAUCUAUUACAUUUAUCUCUUUGUUGUAAUUUUCCUUUUUUGGAAACAGGAAAACAUAAACUACAGCAACUUACUUAUCUGCUCUCUUUUGAACUCACUUCUGCCUGUUGCCUUGAACAUUUCCUAUGCCUGUAGUAGGUACUUUUACCUCUUCACCAUAUUUUUAAUAGAUUUGAAUGAAACUAAGAGAGUGUUUGAGAUGCCUCAAGCUGGAAGAGCUGAGCACUGGACAACUCAAUGUUCACAGGUUCUUGCUGAAGAUGCAAACUUGCAAAUCAUGGACUGGAAUGUCUGCCAGGCUCUAAUGCAAGGUACCACCUCUUUUGACUUGGCAGGGAAAGGAACUCCUCAUGUUUUUUGGUUUUUUUAGCUUUUGUACCUUUUUUGCCACUGUGUACACUUCGAAAGUCAUGUAAGAUGUAGUGAAGACAGGCUUUCUCAUGAGUUCUUCUUUCCUUCCUGGAUAUUCUGAUGUCAGAAAUCCAAGAACAAACUUUUUCCUUUGUAUUUUGAUAUUUCUUUCUUUCUUUUCCUUUCUUCUUUGUGUUUUUUUGUUGGUUGGUUGGUUGGUUGGUUGGUUGUUUUUGUGAGGUUUUUUUUGUUUGGUUGGGUUUUUUUGGUUUUUUUGGGUUUUUUGGUUUUUUGGUUUUUUGGUUUUUUUUUUCCUCUCUUCUGGCACAGACCAAAAGUCCUAUCACAAAUUAGAAAAAAAAAAAAAAAAAAAAAAAAAAAAAGAGAACUUCACGUCUUGUAAAAGAUUUGGCUCUAGCUUUGAGAAAAGCUCCAUGCUUCCUAUUAUUUUACUCAGCCAUCCCUACCAUGAGAUUACUUUGCCUUAGGGUGAUGGCUUGUAGGAUUUACUCAAGCGUUACUUCUUAUCAAAACUUUGACCAGCAACUUGGUGAUCACCGGAGUCCCCAAGCACAGAUUUUUACAGGGAACUUACAGGCUCAGUUAAAAUGCAAAUUGCUGUUAAUUAGGCAAACAAGCUACCAGUAAAGCAGAUAUGGCAAGUGAGUUGACAUUGGGUAAAGCAGAAGUGAUAAUUAAUAACCCAACAGUUUGGACGGGUCAUCGGCUCAGCUCUGCCCCAUCAACAGCUGCUGUCUCUGUGCUUUUUGGCUGAAGCUGCACCUAGAAAAAAAGGGCAUUUUUGUGAAAACCACCCUGCCCAGCCAGACAGAUGUGCUGCACCACAUCUGUCCAGACAUUUCCUGCAGCUUUUUGCAGAGGUAGGGCUCUCCAGUGUAGGGGCCAGCUCCAUAGGUAUGGAGACCAGAAUUUUGGAUUAAUUCACCUUAAAUGAGCUUAGUAUUAUUUUUCAGUCCUUUCACUGUUUUUUUUCCCUAAAACCCUGCCAGAUAUUACUGAAGAUCAGAUUUUGCAAUUACAGAGUAACCACAUCCUAAUCCUGGGUUUUCCUGCUAAUCAGAAACAAUUUUUCUCUUGUCGGUUGUGUUCCCUUAAUUCAUUUUGUCUUAACUCUUUCACUCCACUUAACAGAAGAUAGAUGCCUAAAAUUUUCACCUCUGCUCAUAUGGGGAGCUUUUACACUGACCAGACACCAACAGUAACUUUAAUGUUAUGUUACAAAAAUAGUCUUUGAGCAUCUUAAACACAUGAUCCUUCCAGGUUCAGGAAACAGGAAUGAAAACCAGUAGCUCUGCUGUAAAGACCUCUGCAUCAUCUGUUGAGUCCAUUUUCCUUAUUUAAAGUAGACAGAAAAAAAAAAAAAAAAGAGAACCAUAAAGAAGAUAGAAAAUAAGUAGCUGAAAAACCCACUGAAAUAACACACCCACUAAAAUAAUGAAGUCAUAAACACAAGGAAAAUUUGUGUUAAGGCUACAAAAAUACUUUACCUCAGUUCCCUUGGGGCUUGUCUUUACAAGACACAUGGCCCUUUUCACUUUAUGAGAAGAAUCCAAGACGCUCAGCUGUAUUUCCAAGGCUGGGCAAUACUUAAAGAAAAUACUGUAAGACUGCUAUGUCUGGUCUGACCCAGGACCCUGCUUGAAAAAGCUUUACAAAUAUGCAGGAGCAGAGGUUUGACUUGAAGUAUAUCUGCCAUCAGCUGAUGGUGUGCCCUGGUGUGUUAGCUGAUUAAUUAUAGAGCCCUCCUUAAUGAGGGACCACCAUCCCAGAGCACUCCUUUUAAAACUCAAAUGUUGAGUAUCUCAACUGGGUGACUCUUUUUGUGAGGCUGAACAAAAGCAAAACUCAGAGCAAUAAUUUGUUUAUCCUUUCUCAGGCACCGUGUCACUGUUUUGUUCUUCACAAAUAUGUUCCUAUCAGAGUUUGGGGUUGGAAAGGUCCUUAAAGGUCGUCUAAAAUAAAAUCUCCAUCUUUCUCUCUACCAUCUCUUUGCUUCUGCAUGUUUUUCAAGGGAAACAAGUCUACCUCUUGCUCCCACACACUGAUGAGGUGAUGCAGAAGUAUUUGCAGAACUGACACAGACUCUGGUUUGCAUCCACUGAAGCUAUAGUGAUGCAGUCCUAGAUAGCUCUGCCUUUGCAAUAUUUAUGCCAUGGUUGUCUCCUAGGUCUUAGAAGUCCUUCCCAGUGUCACACAAAAUUAGCAUUUCCUGUGACCGGAGUCAAUAAAAUUACUUAUUUGAGUAAAUACUGCUGAUUAUGAAAAGCAAUUGUGUAUUUUAGUGAUUAUAGCCAUAUUUUGACCAGAAGUAUUUCGACACUUCAGCAGAGUGCCAGAUUUUCAGCAGGGUUUGUAACUCAGUGCCUUAGAUUUGAAAUCUUGUGGCCAUUUUUUUUAAAUUAUUUUUUUUGUGAUGAACACCGAAAGAGCUCUGGGAGUGCUGAAUUCUGAGCUGGGGAGGGAGGGGAGAUCCUGUCCUGCCUUGGGCAGCCUUGCAGUGGCUGCUGGGGUCAUUCCUCCCCAGGCUCCAACCCUGCAGUGCCUCUGUCCUCCAGUGCUACACGUGUGGGUGGCACAAAGAGGAGCUUGGAAUGUUUUUAGGGAAGUUUCCUCUUUCUUCAUGUGUCGCCUUGGACAGGGUUACAGCGUUAUCUGAUGAAGCAAAUCUCAGCAUCUCUUUGAAGAAAAUGUUUCUGUGAGAGGGUUUUUGCAGAUACAUAAAGCUGGACUUGUAUCUGAAACCACAAAGAGGGGGCUGGACACAGCUGUAGAGGUGACACAGAAGUGAUUUCACAAGGCCUCCAUCUCCCCUCUGUGUGACAAUCAGGAUGUGCUGCACCAAAAACAUCUCUGUCCUCCUUCCCACUGAAAAGGUUUCACCUUUUCUUGACCUCAUGGCAGGAAAGAACCUUUUUGGCUAUUAUUCACUAGGGCAAUGGUUCUCCUUAGAGAAUGAAAAUUGUUGUGCUUUUUUAACUACCUUUUACCAGUGUAGCAAAGCCAUUACUAAGCUGAACUGAAAUUAUUUUCUUAUGGUCAUAUAAAAGAGUAGAAAAGUGUUCAUAUUAUCUCUGGACACUCUUACUUUAGUGACAGUAUGGAAUAUAUACUAUUACGAAAAGACAUUUAUAAUCUCUUAAAUUUACCCUUUCUCUAUCUGAUCUGGCAUUUGCUGCCUCUAUGCUGGUGACCAUAUGUGUGUGCUAUAGAUCAGUGUGCAUGUGUUGCAUGGAAGGAGGAAGAAGCCUGACCAACUAAAUCCAUCAGAAACAAAUAUGAUACAGCACUGAACUUCUACAGUGCUUUUCUCUGAGUCCAGAAACUCUCCUUUCCAUCAGGGCCUCUCAGUUCUGCUGCAUUUUUCCAGAGCUCCAUUCCCACCUUGACAGAGGGGUGAGUGUAACAAGAAAUGUACUUUGUCAAGGCAGGUUUGGGAAAUAUUUUGGGGGUUGAGUUCAAUUUUCUGCGACGUCCCUCUUUGUUCUGUUUUUGAUUUUGUUUAUUUGUUUAACUGUUUGUUUGUUUGUUUGUUUGUUUGUGGGUUCUGUUUUGUUAGGAUUUUCUUCCAUAGGUGAAACAGGACAGGAAUUCUGCCUCAGACAUGGGAAGUGUCCUUCCCAAGCACGUAAGGAGGUCUGUUCUGCAGCAACAGGUAAGAUGAUCCAUUGCUCGACACUGCAGAGGUUUAUCCAGUAUCACACAGGUCAAGGGACCGUGUGUCCAGCCUGGAAAAUUCCUCAUCUGCUCCUUUUGCACUGGAAGGGGAGGGAGCUGGUGUCCACUGCCCCUUCUACUCUGUAGGAUUUCUGCUAGGGAUUUAAAAUAUGCAACUUCUCUACUCCUGCAGCAAAGUCCAGUGCAAAUCCUGCCUCAGGGAUGUCUUCUGCAGAAAAAUAAAUGAGUAAAAACACCUGUUGUAGAUGAAAAUCCCCUCCUAACACACAACACUGGCUGCAUUUUCUGUACUGUUUCACUCUGAUAUUUCUCUGUCUGAAGUGGCCACUCAAGCUAAUGUGUAAAACCCCCAAGAAAUCACAUUUGUGUCAGUUUUCUGACUUGCUGUUCAGCGGUCUGCAGCUUUUUCAUGGCACCUGGAGAUAAUUUAAGAUGUUGGUAAUUUUCAGUAGGUGCAGGAACUGUGUGUCAGUUGUCAGCAUCUGUUGCUCUGUUAUGUACAAUACCUCAUUUAUGGCCAUAGAAAAUUCCCAGCAGUUUUUUGUUUUUUUUGUUUUGUUGUUGUUUGUUUGUUUAUUUUUGUGGAUUUUUUUUGUUUUGGUUUGGUUUUUUUAGGUGAAACACAGUGGAAUCAUUAAGAGUGGAAAAGACCUUUAAGACCCUUAAGUCCAAUCAUCAACCCAGCACCACCACCAUGUUCUCCACUAAACCAUUUCCCCUAGUGCAGUAUCCACAUUAUUUUUGAAAACUCCAAGGAUGGGGGCUUCCACCACUUCCCUGGGAAGCCUGUUCUAAUACUUUUUGACCAUUCCCAUGAAAAAACAUUUUCCUAGUACCUAACCUAAACCUCACCUGGUGCAGUUUGAGGCUUUUUUGUCCUAUGCCUUGCUACCUUGGAGAGGAAACUGAGCCCACCUCACCAAAACCUUCUUUCACAGAAUUGUAGGGAGUUAUAAAUGCCUCCCUGAGCCUCCUUUUCUGCAGCAUAAAUAACCCCAGAUCCCUCAGCCCCUCCUCAUCAUACCUGUGCUCCAGACCCAAACCCUACUGUCUUAAAUUAACAUGGAAAAAAAAAGGCAAUUACAUAUUUUUCACAAUUGCUACCAUUUAUUAAAAAAUACACAAUUUUCUAAAUAUUUCAUGUGAUUUCUCAUGCCAAAUCUACUGUUAAUCAGGGGGAUGGAAUUUUAAAAAAUGUUUCAUGUUUUUUCUGGGGUGUUUUAAUGUUCCUGGUCAUGUGAGUUGCAGGGAACAAGUAAACUGGAAUUUGCAGCAAGGAUGGCAUAAUACAUGUCAGGAUACACCUUGACAGAGGCAUUAAUUCACUGCAGGUUCACUCCACAUGGAAUCUCUGUAUUUUUAUGGCAUGUACAGUUGGUUGUAAUGCCAUACUGGGUAUCAUGUAUAACAUCAAAGGGCUAAGUAAGUAUAAAGGCAUGUUAUAUUUCUUCAAUUCAUGUCAACAAAAUCCUUUUCAACCUUGGAUACCUCUUGUUUAAAAUCUUUAGCUCAUCCUGCACUUUUAUUUGCAGCAUUUCUGUCCAAAAAUAAUAUUUGUAACAGGAAAAUGGAACGACUAGGAUAUCUUCUUUUUUGUUGUUUUUGUUAUAGUCUUAAAUUAUUUAACUCUUAGGUGCCCUUGGAAAGCGGACAAAAGUCUACCAAAUAAAGUUAAGUUCUUGGAGUAUCAUCAGCUUGCUUUCCACGCUGUCAUGAAAUUGUUUUCUUAAAUUGGGCUGCUUCCCAAACGAAAUUUUCCUCUACUGAGAUAACGUCCCACAGCAGAUUUUCUGAAGCCUUCAGAGAUUAUUCCUGGGCCAGGACUGCAGGCUUUGCUGAGUGAAAGGCAGAGGGAUUUUUGUGAACAGGACCAAGCAAGGCAGGGAAAAGCUGGGGGUGACCUGGGAGCUGUGGAGAUGCUUUCACACAGUACCUGAACCCAGGGUGACAGAUCAUCCUGAGGAGGAGGGAUUGCUCCCUGUGGCAUCCUCUGAGCAGUUUGUACAUGGCUAGAAUCAUAUAAUCACAGGGUGGUUUGGGCUGGAAGGGAACUUAAAGCUCAUCUUGUUCCAACCCCUGAGUGGGCAGGAACACCUUCCACCAGACCAGGCUGCUCCACGUCCUGUCCUGCAGAUUAUCUGAAUCCUUCAGUAAAAGAUGGGAAAGCUCUACUGAGCUGAGGUGUACAUUUAUGGGAAAGGUGUGCACAGGCCUGGAUCAAACCCCUGUAUUCUCUGCUCCCUUUGGAGGUGACCCUGAAUUCCCCAGGCAGAGGAAUGAUCAGGCUGCCCUCCACAAAGGAAGACAAAGGGAAUGAUUGUCCAACCUUUGCCCGUGCUGAGUAUCUGAAGAGUGCCCAUCUCCGAGGUGGACAGAUGCCAGUGGGGACAUCACGUCUCGUGUAACAUAUUUCAGCUCGAGGCUCAGAAAUGUCACAGGAUCCACAGAAUCCUUGAAGAACAGAGAGGACCUGAGCUUCUGAUGUGCCACUCAAAGGAGAGAUCAUCCCCUAUUCUCUGCAAAGGAUGAGUUUUACUGCACAGGAGAAUCAAAGCUGAGAGCUAAAAACAUCCUCACCUGUUUGUCUCAAAAGGUCUCGUGCAUUGCUGCAGAAACCAUCAAGCUCCUGGAAAUCUGUGGCACAGCUGAACCUUUCGUGUCUGUAAGAAAACUCUGUAUUCAGACUGGAUGAGGGGCCCAGGCAGGCUGACCAAGAACUCUUAGAGGAAUUUUUCCAGGUGGCUGUUCCAGAAACUGCUUCCCACAACAAUUCCAGAUGGGCCUCUACCACAAGUUUGGGAUCCAGAUUUGGGCUUGGACCUGACCUUUAUCAGAGUUUAGGAAAUGCUGAACCCAGCAUCUGAGGUCAGGCUCUGGAGGGAUUAAAAAAGAUGCUGCAAAGAUCUGGAUUGAGUGGAUCCCCUCCAUGUUUCAAGGCAUUGGUGUGGAAAAUACAAGGACUUUAUUUGACCAGUCUCUAAGGUAUUUCAAUUUUAAAAUGGGAGACUUUUAGUGGAGUGGGAGGCUGCGAUUGUUGUUGUGCCUAAAGGAUGAAAUUGCAUAUGGGGAUCCGAUUGACUGAGUGCUGUUGGAGAUUGUAACAGGAGACAGGAACUGCCUAAAAUGGUUUCCAGCUUAAAUCCUUGUCCAAGGUCAAUAAGAGUAUCUGUGAGAAAAUACUGAGAUCCCUGAUUUAUUAUCCAGUACUUUUACGACAAUAGGGUUGCCUCAGUAUAAUUCUUGACUUGUCCUAAAAGAGGAUAAAAUACCUUAAUAACACUAUACACCUAGGUGAAGAAAGAGACUGCAAAUGCUCUGAGAUUCUCAUCAGGCUACAAAUCCCUCAUAUUUCCAAGAUUAAUGGCUUCUAAUCCGUUUUUAAAUGUUCCAUGUGGAUAGUGAAGGCGUAACUAUCAAAACACUGUAAAAUCAUAAUGUCUGUGUAGCUAUAAAUUACUGUUUUCAAAAUGAGCUGGAGGUCUCCAACUUAUUCCUAAGUGCAAAUUCUUAGAUGGUAUAAAAGUGCUCCAAAUAAUGACUAGGGGCAAAAUUUCUGGCUUUUGCCAUGGGGAAGCCAAUUGCUGGUCUGCCUGCUAACUCCAUAGCAGUGUCUGUCCUGGUGACACUGAAAUUGUCCUAAACAGUAUAGAUUGGGUAGAUCAAAAUCAUUUCAGAUCAGAGAUUGAUUGAAAGGCAUGAGUCUCUUUGCAUAUUUCUCUGAUGUGUCUUGUGCUUUUCAUUUGUCAAGUUCUGAACUACUUUGUAUGAGCCUGAUGAUGAAUUCAACUCAUACUGAAGUACAAGUUUCAUGACAGAUUGCUUUAAAAAAAAAGUUUUAUUGGCUUAGAGUAUUUUCUUAAGCCAAAUUAAUGCAUGGCAUUACAGAAAACAGGUAAAAGAGAACUUCCAACUCAUUAUUAUUUGAGUUAAAUACAUAUGCAAUGAUUACUUCCAAAAAACAACAACACAAAGCAUGAUUUAAAAGAUCAUUAGGAUAGUCUUUUGUGGGGCACAGAAAAAACCUUUACAGAUGUUAUGGGCUCUUUGGGGUUAUGCUUAAAUAAAAAUUUUGAGAAGUGCCUCAUUUGAAUUUAUACUCCCUUUGUGGUCCAUCAAAAAGGAUUCAUCUCCUAUUCAAAUGACGAGUCAAUAUGUUAGUCAGAUCAAAUACCACUAAUAAGAUGCUAAAAAUGCUUCUGAGGAACAGGGGGAUUUCUUUAACAAGCCAUAAAGUGCUUUUUAAUCCAUUUUUGACUUGUUAAGUUCUUUGUGAUUCUCACAACUGUUCCAUCGUGACACAGUUUCAAUCCUUCGUGCAGAUGGAAAAAAUCAAGGUGUAAAUCAAGGGCAGUGCAUGGAUAUUGCUUUUCCUCUCCAGCAUUUCCCAAAACCACUGUGGUCCUCCUCCUUGUCCUUUUCCAUCUCAUGUCUAUUUAAGACACUGAUGCUGGUGGGUGUUUUGGGUUGAUAAAGCUGUAAUUGAUGAGAUUGCCAAAUCACAGAGCCCGAGAUUCACUAAAGAUCCAAAACAACAUAAAAGAAUGAAACUCCGUCUCUUCCCCACAACAGAGGUGGGAGGCUUUGGAGAGGAGAGAUGCUCCUGGUGUCCUGAGAGAAGGAAAACCUGGAUUCCCAGCUUUGGUCUCUCCUCUGCUUUGCAGAGCCAUUUGCUGAGUUAUCUGUCUGUGGGAAGUGCCCCGGUAUUGCAGUUUUGCUGCAGACACAGCUGCACGGGGCCCGGGGACGUAGGAGUUCUCAAGAUAUAUCUCUCUAUCAGCGGCAAAAAAUGCUGAAUAGAUGCAGAUAUUAUGAAGAGGCUGAUGAAGGAGUGGGUUUUUUGCAUAUCUUCCUGGUCACAUCAGCAGAGAAGAAUUCUCCUGUGCCUUAGCUCUGGGGUCAAAGAGUGAUCCUUAACAUUUGUCUGAUACCCAGGAUGUAUUUCCCAAUCUGCUGAUGGCAGUGGCAAAACCCCUCAGCCUGUUUUGAUUCAGUUGAAGUUUCAUACUAUUCAUUUUUAUUUUUUUCUUUAGCUAAAUAUAUUUAAGUUUUGGGUUGUGAACGACAAAUAGAAACUAAAUAGCUACUUAAAAAAACAAAGUAAAAGUGGUUUUGAUUAGCACUGUUAUCCUUCCUGACUUUGCUCACCUCUGGAGACCAGAAUAAGUCAAAAUUCAAACUUCACUACCAAAUCUUUGCAGAUAACCCUGAAAAUAGUUUAUGAAAUUCCCAUCAUGACUUUUUUAUUUGCUGAAAGCACAAAGCAUUUGACCAUCCCUGUAAUUUCUGAUUGUAUUUGUGGCUGACAGAACAGAGCGUUGUGACAAGUUUAUCCUCAGAUUUUAUGUGGAACAGGAGGCACUAGCCCACAACACACUUUAUUCCAUAAACAUAAAUUAGUUCAUUCAUUAAAAUAAGUUUUUCAGGAUUAGGUCUGUGAGUAUCAACCUUUUGUGAUGGAGAAAAUAAAUAGCAAUGUUUAAUAAAUACACAGUGUACUAAGAUUGUAUUUAUUAGUCUUUUGACAUUUUUAUCUGGCUCCUAUAAAGGAGUCUUUGGAGCUGGGACAACAACUGGUGCAGGUAAAUUUCCUACAUUGUGAAAGGAUCUGGUAUUUAGUUUAUGGGAAGCAGGCCUGAGCAGAUGUGAAAAGUUCAAAUAAAGGAAGGCCAGAUAAACGCACUUUUGUGGCUGGAAAAUCAAAACAGAUGUUAUUAUUCAACCACAAAAAAAUCUAUUUGCACUUAAGUAGCAUUAGGUGUCUGACUAGUUAUAUAUUUUUUUUUUAGUGAAAACAACAAAAUGAUUAUAAAAUUAUAUAGGCUGAUAAAGUGCUUUGAAAUGUUACCAGUGGACUGAAUAGUUAGCUAAUAGAAAAAACCAAGCAGAUCUUACAAGACCAAUAGAAAUAUGAAUAAAUCUAUUUUUGAAGGGAAAGUGAAGAAAGAUACACUGGAGGAGCAACAAAAUUGAAUGGACUCUCCUCUCUGAACCCUUGAUGUACAUCAGAGAAAUGUCGAUUUAAGAUGGGUGGAUUUUACACUGCCCAUAAUCUUUUCUGGAGACCUGCCCGUAUAGAAAGGUUGAUGCUGGCAGAGGAUGACAGGUGCUGGAGAUCCUCAGGAGCCCUUGACUACAAGAAAACACUCGCAGGGUGUGAAUGCUGCCAAAUAGUCUUGCAAAUUAUUUCUGAUUAAAAAAGAAAAUUCGAUUUGGUUUCAGAAAUGUACAUGUCAAAGAAACACCUAGAAUAGAUGGAAUAAUACAGGAGAAUAAAAAUGAUUAUUUUUGUCUGUGAAAACCUGCUCAUGUGGGCAGUGGAAAUAAUCCUUUUUUCUGGAAAAGCUGAUCUGAUUUGAAGAGAUUUUGUUGGCCUGACACAUUUCUGCUCUUGAUAUCCAACUUUUCUGCUCUUGCUUGCUGGGAGUCAGAGGUAAAUUAAGAGUAGGUCUUGUUGGCUUGCUGGAGUUGGUGAAACUUGUUAAUAAAUUUGGGGUUUGCUGUCUGUUGCUUCCCUCUUCUUUGGGAAAUGGAGUCCAAGACAUCUUCAUCUCAAGAAUGGUAAAAGAGAGGACAGAGCUGCUUUUUGUUCCAGUUUGAGUUGCUGCAGGAACACUGAGGGUCUGCAUGGUUGGGAGGAUGUUGUGAAAUAACAGAGCUUUUUCCUGUUUGUGCAGUUAUUCAAUAUUUGAUCGUUGCUCCUCCUCCUCCCUGUCUUCAGCACCACCAGGUCUGGUCCCCAUUAAGCUCCCAUCCUACAUCCAAGCCACCCUUCCAGUUCUGCUGCUUUUCCUGAGGUGGAGCUGCCCUGCACUGGGAGAUGGAGAGCUGAGAUGUCUGGGACAUGAGGCCCCUCCCCAGCCCUCCUGUUUUCCUCUGCAUUUCUGGGGAAAACUCACACAGAUCUGCUCUGAGGAGCUGGACUUUUCAGGGCAGAGAUGAGUGGUAUAACCAAAGGUUGGCUGUCCCACCUCAUAUUUAGGGUUAGGAGCCUUGCUCAGUGAGCCUGUAGCUCACUUAUUCUCUGCCUGAAUGCCCCUAGAACCCAUCAUUGCUGUGCACUCUCCUCUCUCACAUUAAGAUUACAGGGAGUUACCUCUUAGUUUAAUUUAAAGAUUAUUGCAGCUCAUUUGGGCUCUUCCCUGGUCUUAGAGCUCAGUGGUUAGUAGUCAUCAGUGAUGAUUACUCUCAAUAUUUGGGAUUUUAGGGAAAAAAAAACCCCAAAACCCCACCAUUGUAGCUCCUCAAUCACACAGGUCUUCUGCACUUUUCCCUUAUUUAAAAAUGAAGUGAUACCAGAGGCCACACCUUGUGGAGAGGUGAAUGCUUAGCCAUGAUUUGUAAGUUUAUGAAACUGUUGUUCUUGGGAAGAGUUCGAAACUGAAAAAAAAGAAACAACAAAAAAAUCCCACUCAAAAGUAAAAAAAAAAAAAAAAAAAAAAAAAAAAAAAAAAAUUCAAAACAAGAUUAAAUAUUAAUUCUAAAGGUGAACGUCUGGUUGGCUUUCAGGCUAUGUCAGAGUCCUAAAGUCAAAAAUCAAAAGGUUUUUAAAGAUCUGAAAUUCCUAUUAAAAUCUGUGGUUUAGCAGCCUAAAUCCCAUUGAAAUGCAGUGUAAUUAAGAUUUCCAACACACUUGGGGUUUAUUUCUAAGAAAUGAUGACCUGUAGGCAACUUACUGCAUUUUCAAGGGACUAUGUAAUUUUAAAACUAUGAAUACUGGUCAUUUCUGUCACGGACCUUAGAAAACCUUUGUAAAAAUGCAUAGUCUUUAAGAAAAAACUUAUUUUUUGUGACAUCAGGACUCAGCUAAUACAGCUUCUCACUUGAACAGUUCCUUCACAUUCUCACUGAGCUUGUGGUUGAGAUAUUCCUGUGAAGGUGGGAAAAUAUUAUGUGAGAAAAGGUGGUGGGACCAUUUGUCUUUGACUCCUUUCCUUAUGGAGAUGCUGAGUAUCCCACUGAUACAAAAGGGUCAGAGAGAGCAAAAUGUGUAAAUAAUUUAAUAAGCAAAAGAAUUGUAAGACAGAAACUCACCAGAGUAAGGACAAUGGAGUACAAAAUGCCAUAAAAGAUAAUAGGCUUAGAUGAAUUGGCAUGUGUUAGUGAUUAUGCAAUCAUUCAUUUCCCACAGAUUUCUUUUUAUAGGAAACCUUGGAAAAUCCCUGAAGAACUGACCGAGUCGUUUAACCACAACAGGUUUCUCUUCGACGUGGCUGGGAGUGGGCGAGGAAUAUUUUCACAUCUCUGUGCUCUGCUGGUUUGGGAGUGCUGGAAGUCAGGGCGCAGAGGGCGGCGGGGGACGGUGACUCAGCCCGGGGCCGAGCGGGUCCCCCUGCCACCCUCCCUGAGGGAACACUCCCGUGUGAUCAGGGGCUUUGAGGGUUGGUCCACGGCUGAGGAGGGGAUUUUUGCUCCAGAGGAUGUUCCCAGAGCCGGGCUGGAUGUGAAUCCCUCUGGCUCACAGGGAGCAGCUGAGCUCUCCUCGGUCACUGGCAGAAGGAGUCAUUUGCUUCCUUGCUGUCAUGGGCUGUUUAAAUACUUGUGUUUCUGACAACAAUUUUCCUUCACCGCUGGGCUAAGGAAAACAAGUCCUCGAGCAGCAGUUUGAGUUUCUUGAAAUUUUUUCUCCUUCCUUUUCUUUUUUUUUUUUUUUUUUCUUUCCAAACAGGCUGCUCUCCUUGCGUUCUUCAGAGCAGCUCCUCAAAGUGUCCCUGCUGCUCCGAGAUGUGUCACUGGAGGGGCCACCCUUCACUCAGCUGCCUUGCUCCAAACCCAGCAUCCUCAUGUGUGUAACAUCUCUCUCAGAUCCUCCUUCUGCUAAAGCUUCCUGGUGUUGGGCUGGAUGAUCCUGGAGGGUCCUUUCUGAUACCUUGAGUUUUAGUUUUCAUAUUUUUCAGAUUCUGUGCUGCCCAGGGGCAGCUCUGAGCUCACACUCAGGCUCACUCAGCUCUGCACACAGCAGGGACACAAAACAAAUCCUUCUCCUGCUGCACACCAAGGACAACUUUCAGCCCCAAAAGCACAAACAGGGGUGGCUGAAGGGAGGAACAAGAAGGAUGGGACCUCACAACCUGGAGCUGUAAUUGGACAAUUAAACCCCAAUGUGCAAAUGGCCCAAAACUUAUAAAAAUGUAAGACCUUGUGACCGAUCAGCCAUUUUGUGACCAUUCACGUUUUGUAGCCCUGGCCAGGCUCUUGUCCUGCCCAAGGUGUACCCUGGAGGCCUUUUAAUAAACACCCACUUUAUUCUUUAGCUCUGUCCAGUCUCUGUUUCAGAUCAGCCUUCCAAGGCAUCAUUUCCAACUUGAGAUACUCUGUGAUUGACUCCACGACUUGCUCUGCUCAGCCCUGUGGAACAACCAGGCCCAAGCCACAAUG